rnacentral:rRNA from 1 species
UCCAGACUCCUACGGGAGGCAGCAGUGAGGAAUAUUGGUCAAUGGGCUUACGCCUGAACCAGCCAAGUCGCGUGAGGGAAGACUGCCCUAUGGGUUGUAAACCUCUUUUGUCAGGGAGCAACGCCGGCUACGUGUAGCCGGACUGAGAGUACCUGAAGAAAAAGCAUCGGCUAACUCCGUGCCAGCAGCCGCGGUAAUACGGAGGAUGCGAGCGUUAUCCGGAUUUAUUGGGUUUAAAGGGUGCGCAGGCGGUCUGUUAAGUCAGCGGUCAAAGCCCGGGGCUCAACCCGGGCCGGCCGUUGAAACUGGGGAUCUUGAGUGGGCGAGAAGUAUGCGGAAUGCGUGGUGUAGCGGUGAAAUGCAUAGAUAUCGCGCAGAACUCCGAUUGCGAAGGCAGCAUGCCGGCUCCACACUGACGCUGAGGCACGAAAGCGUGGGUAUCGAACAGGAUUAGAUACCCUGGUACGU